UACAGAGGGUGCGAGCGUUGUCCGGAAUCACUGGGCGUAAAGGGCGCGUAGGCGGCCUGAUAAGUCGGGGGUGAAAUCCUGUGGCUUAACCACAGGGCUGCCUCCGAGACUGUCGGGCUCGAGCACAGUAGAGGCAGGUGGAAUUCCCGGUGUAGCGGUGGAAUGCGUAGAGAUCGGGAAGAACAUCGGUGGCGAAGGCGGCCUGCUGGGCUGUUGCUGACGCUGAGGCGCGACAGCGUGGGGAGCGAACAGG
rnacentral:rRNA from 1 species